GACAGAGGGGGCAAGCGUUGCUCGGAAUUACUGGGCUUAAAGGGCGCGUAGGCGGGUUGCCAAGUCAGGGGUGAAAUCUUUCGGCCCAACCGGAAAAGGGCCCCUGAUACUGGCAGUCUCGAGGGAGGUAGGGGUCGAUGGAACUAAUGGUGGAGCGGUGAAAUGCGUAGAUAUCAUUAGGAACGCCGGUGGCGAAAGCGAUCGACUGGACCUCUUCUGACGCUGAGGCGCGAAAGCCAGGGGAGCAAACGGG
rnacentral:rRNA from 1 species